rnacentral:rRNA from 1 species
GACGAACGCUGGCGGCGUGCCUAAUACAUGCAAGUUGAGCGCUGAAGGUUGGUACUUGUACCGACUGGAUGAGCAGCGAACGGGUGAGUAACGCGUGGGGAAUCUGCCUUUGAGCGGGGGACAACAUCUGGAAACGAAUGCUAAUACCGCAUAAAAACUUUAAACACAAGUUUUAAGUUUGAAAGAUGCAAUUGCAUCACUCAAAGAUGAUCCCGCGUUGUAUUAGCUAGUUGGUGAGGUAAAGGCUCACCAAGGCGAUGAUACAUAGCCGACCUGAGAGGGUGAUCGGCCACAUUGGGACUGAGACACGGCCCAAACUCCUACGGGAGGCAGCAGUAGGGAAUCUUCGGCAAUGGACGAAAGUCUGACCGAGCAACGCCGCGUGAGUGAAGAAGGUUUUCGGAUCGUAAAACUCUGUUGGUAGAGAAGAACGUUGGUGAGAGUGGAAAGCUCAUCAAGUGACGGUAACUACCCAGAAAGGGACGGCUAACUACGUG